GGUGGUCCAGUGUAGGUAGUAUUCUACGAUAAACUGUCGACGACAACUUAUUGUAGAAUACUACCUACACUGGACCACC